ACGACAAUGGUGGCACUUCCUUUAACCCCAUCAAAGCCGGAGAUGAAGAUAGGGAAGGAGAGAGUGAUCAUCAGAAUGGGAUAACAAUGGCAUCUUGGCAAAGCAGCAGCUAGGAGGAGAGAAUCUACCAAGAUUUGAAGUGGAUGAUUUAUAGAGCCUAAGCGGGAAGUACAACACAGUCGUAUGCCUAGACGUGCUGAUACAUUACCCUCAGAACAAAGCAGACGGGAUGAUUGCACACCUUGCUUCCUUAGCAGAGAAGAGAGUGAUUCUGAGUUUUGCACCAAAGACUUUCUACUAUGAUAUCUUAAAGAGGAUCGGAGAGCUUUUCUCAGGUCCUUCAAAGGCUACAAGGGCUUAUCUACACGCGGAGGCGGAUGUAGAAAGAGCAUUGCGUAAGGUUGGCUGUAGAAUCAGCAAGAGUCCAAGAGAGGACUCAUUACCACCUAGUUCUACUUUUCCAGGCUCAUCGAAGCUGUUCCCAUGUAGGUCAUUCUUGUUCAUAUGCUGAUGAUUCUUUACUGAUGAAUAAGAACUAUACCAUCAAUGCAAUAGCGGCCGACAAGAUUAUCAUAACUCUUCCUGCAUUCCGAAGGUGGUUUCUUCAAGCAUGCCCUUCUUCAGGGCCAGUUCAUAGUUCUUUCGCUGUUUAUUGUAAUCAAUGUAAUAUGUAACUUUACUGCAGGCUCAAAACUCUACAGAAGAUUUGCUGCAAUCA